AUGGUGAAAAAAUUUCUUAUUAUUUGACACGUCAUACAUUAGCAUAUAAAACAAUUUCUAGGUAUUUUCUAUCGUCUCGUUUUGUUUUUCUUAAAACUUAGUAAAAUAUUCAUCUCAUAUCCAUUGUUCAUCCAUUCCACUACCAUUUACCUUCCUUUUCCAAACCAGUUCGUAGAUUUCAAAAGAUCAGUUAAUGGUAAGUUUGAUGAAAUCCGAAAAGAAAACCAAUUUUUGAAGGUAGAUCUGAUGAAGGCGAAAAAUUCGACUACCAUGAUGAAGGUUUUUGUUGUUCUUGUUAUUGUUUAUUUAUUUUUUAGGGUUUAGGGAAAAAUCGUAAUUUGUAGUUAGUUAAUAUUGUUGUUGAAUGUUUUGAAAUGUUCUUGAAUUCUUGACAAUUUCUGGAAAAGUUGUGAGGUAAUGAAAUAUUGUCCAGAAAAUUUAAGAUUAAGUUGUUGUUGAUGUUGUUUAAUUUUAUGGGUAAGUUAUUUACCAUGACUACAAAAUUUGUAUAUUAAGUGUGUAAUCUGAUGGUGUUUAGUUUAUUUGAAGUAAUUCAUAUAGAUCUUGAUUUGUUGAUGCUAGUCAUUAAUUAUUAGAUUUCUGGGGAAAGGUUUUUAACCUGAUGUUGUUAACUUUCUCGGGAAAAGAUGCAUAUUAUUUUAUUUUUUUUGACAAGAUAUUAUUUGAAUUCUUGAUGCUAGUUGGAUGCUUGCUUAAAAUUUCUGGGAAAUCUUCGUAGGUUGUACAAAAUCAAUUACUUAAUUUUAUUUUUUUUAAUUUUGGUGUUAGGCAUUAGGCAAUCAUGAUAAUGUAUUAAAAAAAAUAAAUGUAAUUAAAUUUGUACACUUUAACGUGAAGAAGUCAACAUUUUUCUCUUACUUUAUUAACCGUAUUGUUGCCAGUUGUGUUAAUUAUGCAACGAAGACUGUGUGACAUCCCAUCUAUCUCUAAUCUAUCAAAAUCAUCCGUUGUUUGGACUUAUAGUUCAAAAGCCUACAUUAGACUAAUAAAACCUAUAUUAAUUUGAAUUGUAAUCGCAAGCAAUGCAAUUUGGUUGGGAUUUUACUGAAAAGUUACUACCAAUUGGAAUAAAAUUUAAUGAAAAAUGGAUCAUUGACAUUGAGAAUAAUAUUUUUGUAAAUGGUCAUUAAUACAAUAUGGUACUUUUUAGUAACAAAUUAAUUCCAAGAUGAAUAUUUUUGUAAAUGAACGUACCACAUAAUGCCAAUUUUUAGUAACAAAUUAAUUGAUAAGAAUAUUCUUUCAAUCAUGGUUUUUUUUUUAUACAAAAAAUUGUAAAUAUAAUUACUGGUUACAUCGUUGAUUAGGCUGCCGUUAAUAUAAUUGUAAUUUUUGGUAAUCUGUUAAAAUAUAGUCAGUUUUGUAAAUAUGAAAUUUCACUAUUUUUUUAACUUUAUUCGGUAAUCUUAAUUUUUUGUUCCGAAAUAUAGGAUAUGACUUGACAGAUUGCUUUAUAAAGUCUCAGAAAAUGGAAGCAGUCUGUCAGCAGAAAGGAC
rnacentral:lncRNA from 1 species